rnacentral:rRNA from 1 species
UGGGGAAUAUUGCACAAUGGGCGCAAGCCUGAUGCAGCCAUGCCGCGUGUGUGAAGAAGGCCUUCGGGUUGUAAAGCACUUUCAGCGGGGAGGAAGGCGAUAAGGUUAAUAACCUUGUCGAUUGACGUUACCCGCAGAAGAAGCACCGGCUAACUCCGUGCCAGCAGCCGCGGUAAUACGGAGGGUGCAAGCGUUAAUCGGAAUUACUGGGCGUAAAGCGCACGCAGGCGGUCUGUCAAGUCGGAUGUGAAAUCCCCGGGCUCAACCUGGGAACUGCAUUCGAAACUGGCAGGCUAGAGGCUUGUAGAGGGGGGUAGAAUUCCAGGUGUAGCGGUGAAAUGCGUAGAGAUCUGGGGGAAUACCGGUGGCGAAGGCGGCCCCCUGGACAAAGACUGACGCUCAGGUGCGAAAGCGUGGGGAGCAAACAGG